rnacentral:rRNA from 1 species
GGGAAAAAUUAAUAAAAUAAAUUUAAUAAAAAAAUUUUUAAUAAAAUAUUUAAUGGGGGUUAAAGUAUUUUUUAAGAAAAAAUUUAUUAAUUUAUAGUGAAUUAGUAUUGUGGAAGAAUUUUUAAAUAUUUGAAAUAGUAAUUUUAUUAAAAGUAAUUUUAAUUUAGUGUAUCUUGUGUAUCAGAGUUUAUUAAAAAAAUUUUUUAGUUAAAAAUUUCUCGAAUUUAAAAGAGAUAAUUAAUUAAUAAAGUUAUUGUAGCAUAAAUAUUUUAAAUAAUUAAUUGGAAAUGAAAUGUUAAUCGUUUUUAAAUAUAUCUAGUUCUUUUAGAAAAAAAUUUAAUUUUAUAUUAAAAAAAAAAAUAACUUAAUUAAUUAAGUUAUUUUUUUUUUAAUAUUAUAUUUUAAGGGAUAAGCUUUAAAUUAAAUUUAUAUAAAAUAAUUAAUUAAUAUUUAUUGAUAAUUUUAUAAUUUAUAUUGUUAAAAAAAUUUAAUUUAUUAUAAAUAAUUUCAUUAAAAUUAAGAUUUAAUUUAUAAUUUUUAUAUUUUUAUAGGGGGUAAAUAAAAAUUUAUUAAAAUUAGUCAUAAUGAUAAAAUUAGUAUAUAAGUUUAAUUAAAAUUAUUUUUUUUUAUUAGAGUUAAUUAAAAGGAAUUCGGCAAAUUUUUAUAUUCACUUGUUUAUCAAAAACAUGUCUUUUUGUAUUUAAUAUAAAGUCUAAUCUGCCCACUGAUUUUCAAUUAAAGGGCUGCAGUAUUUUGACUGUACAAAGGUAGCAUAAUCAAUAGUCAUUUAAUUGAUGACUUGUAUGAAAGAUUGGAUGAAAUAUAAGCUGUCUCUUAAUUAUUUAAAUGGAAUUUAAUUUUUUAAUUAAAAAGUUAAAAUAAAUUAAAAAGACGAGAAGACCCUAUAGAGUUUUAUAUUUAUUUAUAAUUAAGAUUGUUUAUAAGUUUAAAAAUUUAAAUUAAUUUGAGUAUUUUGUUGGGGUGACAGAAAAAUAAGAAAAACUUUUUUUUUUAAUUAUUACAUUUAUAAGUGGAUAAUUGAUCCAGUAUUACUGAUUAUAAGAAAAAAUUACCUUAGGGAUAACAGCGUAAUUUUUUUUUUUAGUUCAAAUAAAAAAAAGAGUUUGCGACCUCGAUGUUGGAUUAAGAUAAAAUUUAAAUGCAGAAGUUUAAAAUUUUUGAUCUGUUCGAUCAUUAAAAUCUUACAUGAUCUGAGUUCAAACCGGUGUAAGCCAGGUUGGUUUCUAUCUUUUAAUAAUUAAAAUAUUUUAGUACGAAAGGAUUAAAUAUUUAAAUUAAAUUUAUAUUAAUGAAUUUUAUU